UAGUGACAGAAGAAAAUAAAGUGAUUGAAGCAUGGGUGCAGCUAGCUGCAAUAGGAACAAAUAUAAAUUAAUAUUGUUUCAAAAAGUGAACUGGAAGUAUGCCAAACAUAGUAGUUUCUAGGGGAACGGAAAGAUUUGGAGUUUGUCCCCAGACGCAAGCCCAAGAAGACACAGACACCAAGUGUUGGAAUAAUGGGCCACAACUUUUAUUAAACAAUUAAUUAAUUGAGUAGCGGACAGUAGGAGGGAAACACUCCACCCCCCCACCACCACCCCGACAGUGCAGGCAUAACAAAGACCGGGUUCAGACUUCACAGUCCUAGCCCGCAUCCUAAUUGGGAGAUA